rnacentral:rRNA from 1 species
UCUGACGACCAUAGCGUUUCGGAACCACCCUUCCCAUCCCGAACAGGACCGUGAAACGAAACCGCGCCGAUGAUAUUGUGGUUCUUCCAUGAGAAAGUAGGUCAUCGUCAGAC